UAUCUGGAUUGGGACAGUAAAUUGACCAAGAUUUUGACAGAAUUUGGACAGAGUUUCUUCAUGAAAAAUGGGCAUUUUGUCCUAGGUUUCAUCUCCAAUUGGCCUUACACUAAUUGGAGCAAUACAACUCUAGUUAUAUCUCAAACAAUACACUGGACUCAAAGGUCCGAAUUUCCUGCAUAAAAAUCAACACUCCCAAAUUCAAUUCUUCCAACACCACAAACUUCAUUUGACAUACAUGACACUUCUAAUGGUCAUUAAAUCAUCUCAACAUCAUCAAUUUCAAGUCACACAACAAUUUCCCCAAAGUUAGGUCAAAAUCCCUAACUCACAUUCCUCAAUUCAUAUAAACACGAGCCAAUCAAUUUGUUCAUCACAAUUACUUAUCAAUAUCACUAAUAAACACAACUAAUUUCAUCAAAACCAUCAAACCACAACUCUUAUCAUGGCUGCCGAAAUUUAGUAAGUUCCUAUCCCUAUGAAUUUCUUUUAAUUUCAUAUCAAUCUAACUUAUUUUAGUAAGCUUGUCAUGCUUAGAAAAGAAAUAGAAGUGAAUUAGUGCACUAACCCCUUUAAACAAUUCUUGAGCUUACUCAAUCUUUGAAAUUUUUUCACUUUUUGAUCAUUAAAAUAUUCCUCUUGAUGUAGGGAUUAAUUUUUGUGAAGGGUGUUUAGGGUUUUAGGUAGAGAAAGCUUAGGAAAAUUGAGCUUAAAAAAAAAAAAGAAAAUGGAGAAGGUUUCUUGGCUAUGGUGGACAGCAAUAUGGAGAAGAAAUGAAGAAGAUAACUUUUUAUUAAUUAACUCAAUUUGUCUUCUUUUUAACUUUUUCUUAUCUCUUCUUAAUUGGUUGUUGAAUUCCUAUUGGUUAGAGAAUUUUAUGAUGUUAUUAAUUUCAUUUAAU
rnacentral:misc_RNA from 1 species